rnacentral:lncRNA from 1 species
GGUUCCUGAAACUUCUUAAACACAAAACUUUAGAUAAAAAUACCUCACUCUCUCAAGUGUUUUGAUCUCACCCACACACGUGUUUCUCUCAGAUUUUUGUUGAUCACUCACAAGUCUUAUACUCAAGGUUCUAAGAGAUCUAAUCAAGGAAUUCCAAGGGACAAACUUCAAGCAAACAAGGUAAAAUUUUUUUUUUUUUUUGUAAAGAGAGAAAGAUAAGAGAUUUAGCUUUUAGAAUCCGUUUUAACCACCUCAAAGGCUGGAUUUCUUCUCAGCCAGCAGGCUUUCUCUUCCACCACCAAUCCACAAAUCGAUCUUGAAACUUUUUUUUUUAAAUCGUAGAUCUUUCUAUUUUUUUUUUUUUAAAUGGAUGGUAAUAAGGGGUCCGGAUUCAAGAUAGAUAGAAGAAGAAUUUUUUUUUUUUUAUGAAGAAAAUGGUAGAUGUGAAAGAUGAAAUGAAAAGAGAUACCGGAAGAGUGGCUCUGAUUCCACUUUGAUACGCCUUAAAAGGAUCACUCGACCGGAUUUGAAAAACAGAUAUGAACUCCAAGAGGAGAUCUGAUGGAAUGAGGGGUCGCACAAAGGUUGCGGAGUGGCCUUUGAUAUUCCCGAACCAGAUUGUUGCCGGAUGUGACUCACCGGUCCAACAAAGAGGCAAUCUUGAACCGUUGCUUGAUAUGACUCACAAGACCAACGGACAAGGACGUUUGCUUGGAGCUAACCACACCAAGAAAACUAGAAAAGUUCUAAGCAAAGAACAAAGAGUAAAGACUCAAAAAGAAGUUGAAAGAAAAUGGAAUGAUUUUAUUGAUAGAAGUGUUUACAUAUUUAUACUACUUGAGGAAUAGAAAGAGACAUAUGAAUGUAUUAAAGAUAGACUUAGUAAAUCGAAUCUGACUAGAAUUUUGAAAGACAAUGUAUUAAACUCUUAAAUUCCAGAUCUGGUCAAAGAUGACUCUUCGGCUAACGUCCAGGUUCGUCUGAACCAAGUGGUUCCUUCGCGGUAAGGAGCAGGACGGGCGUGGCGUGUUCCGGACGGUCAGCCGGGUAAGGCUCAUGCGCGAACUUGGUUCCAGCACGACCCAAGUCCUUGGACAGUUGUAGAAUCCGUGCCUUAGAGAAAUUUUGAUCAUCAAAAUUCAAGAACUGAUCAUACUGGCCGGUUGAUCCAUCAGUACGUUCAUCGGGACACUCGGCUCGGAUCAGACGGACCAAAAGGGAAAGACUAUGGUCUGUCUCGAUUUCCACUCGACCCAAGUGGGUUCCGGCUCGACCAUCAGUCUUGGCUUGGCGAGUUGGUCGGGAAAGACGGGCUCCGGUACGGUCGGUUUGGUCAUCUGGACAUGGUUCUAGCCUUAGUUCUUUUCCGGCUGCGUGCGGGUCGAUCCGGUACACGGCUCGGUGUGUCUGUCUGGAACGGUCGUCUGCCUGAACCUCGGUUGGAAUGAUCUGAUCGUCCUGUUCUCCAUCCUGGCUUGGUUCCAUGUACUGAUCCAUGUACUGAGGCGCAUCAUUCCCUCCCUCUUGAAAAGGAUUUGUCCACAAAUCUGGAUCAUCUGCAAGAAAAGGAGAUAAAUCAGAAACAUUAAAGCUUGAGGAAAUGUCAUACUUACCUUGCAAGUCAAGCUGAUAAGCAUUGUCAUGGAUUUUCUUAAGAAUCUGAAAAGGACCAUCGACCCUUGGCAUGAGUUUGGACUUUCUUUCUUCCGGAAAUCGUUCCUUCCUAAGAUGAACCCAAACAAGAUCACCCUCCUCAAAAAUGACCUUCUUUUUCUUCUUGUUUGCCUUCCUUGUGUACACCUCGGUCUUGGCUUCAAUGUUCGCACGAACUGUCUCAUGCAACUUCUUGAUUGUAUCAGCUUUCCUCUUGCCAUCUGUACUAACUCUUUCACUUAAAGGCAAAGGCAAAAGAUCAAGUGGAGAUAAGGGAUUGAAACCAUAAACAACCUCAAAAGGAGAGAAUUUAGUAGAAGAAUGCAAUGAAUGAUUGUAAGCGAAUUCAACAUGAGGCAAACAUUCUUCCCAAAGUCUAAGAUUUUUCUUAACCAAUGACCUAAGCAAUGCAGACAAGGUUCGGUUCACAACUUCAGUUUGUCCAUCAGUUUGAGGAUGACAAGUGGUGGAAAACAUCAAUCUAGUUCCUAGUUUAGACCAUAACGUUUUCCAGAAAUAACUAAGGAACUUAGCAUCACGAUCAGAAACAAUAGUCUUAGGCAUUCCGUGCAAUCUAACAAUUUCCCUAAAGAAUAGAUCAGCAACUUGCACAGCAUCAUCAGUCUUAUGACAAGGUAUGAAAUGAGCCAUUUUAGAGAAUCUAUCGACCACAACAAAGAUAGAGUCUCGACCAGAUUUAGACCUAGGCAAUCCAAGCACAAAGUCCAUAGAUAUGUCUACCCAAGGAUGAGAAGGAAUGGGAAGAGCAGAAUACAAACCUUGGUUUUUAGAUUUAGACUUGGCUUUCUUGCAAACCACACAUCGGCCACAGAUCCGUUCCACAUCCUUCAUCAAGCUCGGCCAAUAGAAGUGCUCAUUCACCACCUUGUGCGUUUUCUUGACUCCAAAGUGUCACAUAAGGCUUCCUCCAUGAGCUUCCCUGAGAAACAAUUCCCUCAAAGAACAUUGGGGCACACACAAACGGUUAUCAAAGAAUAAAAAUCCAGAAGCUUGAUAGUAGUCUUAGGCAUUCCGUGCAAUCUAACAAUUUCCCUAAAGAAUAGAUCAGCAACUUGCACGGCAUCAUCAGUCUUAUGACAAGGUAUGAAAUGAGCCAUUUUAGAGAAUCUAUCAACCACCACAAAGAUAGAAUCUCGACCAGAUUUAGACCUAGGAAAUCCAAGCACAAAGUCCAUAGAUAUGUCAACCCAAAGAUGAGAAGGGAUGGGAAGAGCAGAAUACAAACCUUGGUUUUUAGAUUUAGACUUGGCUUUCUUGCAAACCACACAUCGGCCCCAAAUCCGUUCCACAUCCUUCAUCAAGCCCGGCCAAUAAAAAUGCUCAUACACCACCUUGUGCGUUUUCUUGACUCCAAAGUGUCCCAUAAGGCCUCCUCCAUGAGCUUCCCUGAGAAACAACUCCCUCAAAGAACAUUGGGGCACACACAAACGGUUAUCAAAGAAUAAAAAUCCAGAAGCUUGAUAGUACUUUCCAUAGGCCGUUUUGGAACACUUUAUGAACACUUCUUUGAAAUCCGAAUCAGUUGCAUACAGAUCUUUGAUAAAUUCAAAACCAAGCAACUUUGUUUCAAGAGCUGAAAGAAGAACAUACCUCCUGGACAAGGCAUCAGCCACCACAUUGUCCUUACCUUGUUUGUAUUUGAUCACAUAAGGAAAGGUCUCAAUGAACUCGACCCAACGGGCAUGUCUCUUGUUCAGCUUCUGCUGGCCCUUAAGGUGUUUCAAGGACUGAUGAUCAGUGUGGAUCACAAACUCUUUUGGCCAAAGAUAAUGCUGCCAUGUCUGAAGAGCCCUCACCAAAGCAUACAACUCCUGGUCAUAAGUGGGGUAGUUGAGCGUGGCUCCUCCAAGUUUCUCACUGAAGUAAGCAAUGGGUUUCCUAUCCUGCAUGAGAACAGCACCAAUACCAAUACCCGAAGCAUCACAUUCGAUCUCAAAAGUCUUAGAGAAAUCAGGGAGUGUAAGCAAAGGAGCAUGAGGUAACUUCCCUUUUAGAAUCUGGAAUGCCUCUUCUUGGGCUUGUUCCCACUUGAACCCCACGUUCUUCUUGAUCACCUCAGUAAGCGGAGCGGCUAUGGUACUGAAAUCCUGGACGAACCGUCUGUAGAAGCCGGCUAGGCCAUGGAAACUUCUUACUUCGCCCACGGUCGUUGGACUCGGCCAAUCUCGGAUGGCUUUGAUCUUUUCCUCAUCUACUCUAAGUCCAUCAGCACCUACAACAAAGCCUAAGAACACCACGUGAUCUGUUCCAAAAGAGCAUUUUUCAAGAUUUGCAAAAAGUUUUUCUUUCCGUAGAACAUCAAGAACAGAUUUCAAGUGUAUCUUAUGAUCAUCAAGAUUCUUGCUGUAUAUGAGAAUAUCAUCAAAGUAAACAACCACGAAAUGACCAAUGAAAGACCUCAAGAUAUGAUUCAUCAAACGCAUAAAAGUGCUAGGUGCAUUAGUAAGACCAAAUGGCAUGACAAGCCACUCAUACAAUCCUAGUUUCGUUUUAAAUGCAGUUUUCCACUCAUCACCUUCUUUCAUUCUAAUUUGGUGAUAGCCACUUUUUAAAUCAAUCUUAGAGAAAACUGAUGAACCAUGCAACUCAUCUAGCAUGUCAUCAAGCCUAGGAAUGGGAUGCCUAUACUUUACCGUAAUGUUGUUGAUGGCACGGCAGUCCACACACAUGCGCCAAGAUCCGUCCUUUUUGGGCACUAGGAGGACAGGCACGGCACAAGGGCUGAGGCUCUCCCUGAUGUGUCCUUUCUCCAGAAGAUCACCAACCUGCUUCUGAAGUUCUUUGGUUUCAACUGGGUUGGUUCGAUAGGCUGGCCGGUUCGGUAGAGAGGCUCCCGGGACAAAAUCGAUCUGAUGUUCUAUGCCUCGAACUGGUGGCAAUCCCUUAGGAUUCUCAUCUGGAAAAACAUCAGAAAAGUCCUGCAAAAUAUCUAGCAACUCACUCGGAAUCUCCGGUGCAAGGUCAGAAGAAAGUGAAGCCAUAAGAGAUUCUUUAUACACAAGUAAAAGAAAUGGCUUUUGGGAGUAAAGAGACCUCUUAACCUGACUUUGUUUUAUGAAGAAGUUGGAGUUUCGUUGAGAUGACUCAGGCUCGUCCGGCUUAGGUUCCUGGUCACGGUUCUUCUUGAGUUGGACCUGAUCUUGGUGAACCUCUAAUGGAGACAAGGGCACCAGCGUGAUCUUCUUUCCUUUGUGGUCAAAGGAGUGUCGGUUUGUGAAGCCAUCAUGCACUGCUCUCUUAUCAAACUGCCAUGGACGGCCUAGAAGGAUGUGACAAGCGUCCAUAGGAAGAACGUUGCAAACAACUUCAUCCUCAUAUCGUCCAAUGGUAAGAGGGAUCGUGACUUGUUCCUUGACAUACUGUUCACCGGUUUCAUUGAGCCAUUCCAACCUGAAAGGACGUGAAAGAGGUCGAGUAGCUAGCCCUAGCUUCCUGACAAGAGUAUCACUAGCAACAUUAGUACAACUCCCACCAUCAAUGAUCAAAGAACAAACUUUUUCAGAGAUUAAACAACGAGAAUGAAAGAGAUUCUCCCUUUGUUCUUUUUCAUUGGUUUUGGGCUGAACACUCAAGGAACGUCUAGUAACCAGUAGUGGUCCGUGAGCUGGAUAGUCAAAGCAAUCCUCCUUAUCAAAGAUCGGCUCAGAAUCAAUGUCGAAGACCGGGCCAAGGUCGUCGUCCGUGUGGCCGUUAGCAUGACCGUCCGUCUCAUCGAAGAUGGGACCGUUCCAAGCCUUCCUCGCAACAAGUAGUGGUCCAUGAUGUGGGUAGUCAAAGGACUCCUCUUCCUCAUCAAAGAUAGGACCAAGAUCCUCCUUGUUCUCUUGCUCGUCCUCGGACUCAACCUCUCCAUUUUCCAUGAGAAUCAUUACUCUUUGGUUCGGACAUUUGUUGGCAUAGUGUCCUAGGCCUUGACACUUGAAGCAUCUGAUGUCUCUUGCACGGCUAGGAUUCUCAAUAGCUUUUCCUUUGUCAACACGAGCAGGAGCAUCAGUCUUUAAAGCUGUAUUUGUUGUGGCAGAAGACUUACCUUUGUCUUGAUAACUUGGCUUAGGAGUAAAGGACGGUUUAAGAGCAAAGGCCGGCUUUGAGUAGCUCUUUCUUUUGACCUGUUGUUCGAUCAGGAUGGCUUUGUGCAACAUUUGCUCCACGGUUCCAUACUCUUGAAGCUCCAUGCGAUCUUGGAUGUCUCGGUUAAGGCCAGAAAGGAACCUAGCCAUAGUGGCGUCCACGGGCUCGUCUACAUCGGCCUUGAUCAUCAAAGUUUCCAUCUCCUGGUGGUAGUCUUCCACGAACUUAGUGCCUUGAAGUAAGUGUCGGAGUUUCUGGUGGAGAUCUCGGUGAUAAUGAGCAGGAACAAAUCGUCUCCUCAUCAGCAUGGAAAACUCAUCCCAUGUCUCAAUCGGUCUCUCACCUGUUCUCCUCCUGUGGGUCACAACUUGAUCAUACCAAUUAAUAGCAUAGCCAGAAAAUUCAGUAACAGCUAGUCUAACUUUCUUAAGUUCAGAAAAGUUUUGACAAUCAAAGACAUGUUCAAUUUUUCUUUCCCAUUCAAGAAAAACAUCAGGAUCAUUUUUACCCUCAAAAGGUGGGAUUUUUAGUUUCAAUCCACUUAAGCUAUCAUUAGCACGUUCAUUUCUAGCAAAAGGAUUGACAUCACCUGGUUCCCGGUUUCUGUGACCCCUCCUUGGUCGGUUUAUGGAUCGGUCCUCGUCCUCAUGAGAGUCCUCCUCUCGGAUCUCAUCAUCAGACCGGUUUGGCCUCCUUGGGCGAUCUCUUCUGGCUCUGGUUCGAGGACGCGGCUGUUGACUGUUCUGGAUCUCAUCUAGCCUUAGAUGGAUCUGCUCAAGACCUGCAUUCAUAAGGUUAGUAAAAGAAUCAUUCAAGGCUCGCAUCUGCAAGUUAGAUAAACCGGCCACUGAGUUUCCGGGUCGGCUCCUUUCGUCUUCACUUCCCAUGGUUCCUGAAACUUCUUAAACACAAAACUUUAGAUAAAAAUACCUCACUCUCUCAAGUGUUUUGAUCUCACCCACACACGUGUUUCUCUCAGAUUUUUGUUGAUCACUCACAAGUCUUAUACUCAAGGUUCUAAGAGAUCUAAUCAAGGAAUUCCAAGGGACAAACUUCAAGCAAACAAGGUAAAAUUUUUUUUUUUUUUUGUAAAGAGAGAAAGAUAAGAGAUUUAGCUUUUAGAAUCCGUUUUAACCACCUCAAAGGCUGGAUUUCUUCUCAGCCAGCAGGCUUUCUCUUCCACCACCAAUC